UCUCAACAGACACACAAAAAAAAUCACUUGACAAAUUUCAUACCUUUAAUGAUUAAAGAAAAACUCACUCAACAAAUUAGAAAUAGAAGGGAAAGUUCUCCAUCUGAUAAAGAACUUGUUUUAGAAAAACCCACAGCUAAAUGGUGAAAGACUUAAUGCCUUCAUCCCAUAUCAGGAACAAAACAAGAAUGUCUGUUCCUGUCACGUUCAUUCAAUACUGCUGGAGAUUCUAGUCAAUUAGGAAAGAAAAAUAAUAAUAAAAGGCAUUCAGAUCAGAAAAGAAGAAGUGAAACCAUCUCCAUUGCAGAUGACAUGGAAAGUUCUAAGGAAUAUACAGAAAGUAUGAGAGCUAAGAAGCAAGUUCAGCAGGAUUACAAAAUACAAAAUCAAUAUACAAAAAUGAAAUGUGCUUCUAGAACAUAGCAAUGAACAAUCUGAAAAAGAAAUGAAGUAAACAGUUCUAUUUGUAAUCCAUCAAACAUAAUAAAAUACUUAAGAAUAAAAAAAAAAAAAAGAUAAAGUUGA
rnacentral:lncRNA from 1 species